rnacentral:rRNA from 1 species
GUAACGGCGAGUGAAGCGGCAACAGCUCAAAUUUGAAAUCUGGCCGCAAGGUCCGAGUUGUAAUUUGCAGAGGAUGCUUUUGGCGAGGUGCCUUCCGAGUUCCCUGGAACGGGACGCCAUAGAGGGUGAGAGCCCCGUACGGUAGGACCACCGAGCCUUUGUAAAGCUCCUUCGACGAGUCGAGUAGUUUGGGAAUGCUGCUCUAAAUGGGAGGUGUACGUCUUCUAAAGCUAAAUACCGGCCAGAGACCGAUAGCGCACAAGUAGAGUGAUCGAAAGAUGAAAAGCACUUUGAAAAGAGGGUUAAAAAGUACGUGAAAUUGUUGAAAGGGAAGCAUUCAUGACCAGACUUGGGCUUGGUUGAACAUCCGGCGUUCUCGCCGGUGCACUCUGCCAGUCCAGGCCAGCAUCAGUUUGCCCCGGGGGACAAAGGCGGUGGGAAUGUGGCUCUCUCCGGGGAGUGUUAUAGCCCGCCGUGUAAUGCCCUGGGGCGGACUGAGGAACGCGCUUCGGCUCGGAUGCUGGCGUAAUGGUCAUCAAUGACCCGUCUUGAAACACGGACCAAGGAGUCGUCUUCGUAUGCGAGUGUUCGGGUGUCAAACCCCUACGCGAAAUGAAAGUGAACGUAGGUGAGAGCUUCGGCGCAUCAC